ensembl:lncRNA
GUGGGUAGAGUCCAGCGUGUGGGUAGAGUCCAGUGUGUUGGGUAGAGUCCAGUGUGUGGGUAGAGUCCAGUGUGUGGGUAGAGUCCAGUGUGUUGGGUCGAGUCCAGUGUGUUGGGUCGAUCCAGUGUGUUGGGUCGAGUCCAGUGUGUUGGGUAGAGUCCAGUGUGUUGGGUAGAGUCCAGUGUGUUGGGUAGAGUCCAGUGUGUUGGGUAGAGUCCAGUGUGUGUGUUGAGUCCAGUGUGUGGGUAGAGUCCAGUGUGUUGGGUAGAGUCCAGUGUGUUGGGUAGAGUCCAGUGUGUUGGGUAGAGUCCAGUGUGUUGGGUAGAGUCCAGUGUGUUGGGUAGAGUCCAG